CGCGAGCUGGCAUCACCUCCUUUCUAUGAACCUUUCUAUCGAACGGCAGCACGGACUUCGGUCUGGUGGCGAGUGGCGAACGGGUGAGUAAUGUAUCGGAACGUGCCUAGUAGCGGGGGAUAACUACGCGAAAGCGUAGCUAAUACCGCAUACGCCCUACGGGGGAAAGCAGGGGAUCGCAAGACCUUGCACUAUUAGAGCGGCCGAUAUCGGAUUAGCUAGUUGGUGGGGUAACGGAUCACCAAGGCGACGAUCCGUAGCUGGUUUGAGAGGACGACCAGCCACACUGGGACUGAGACACGGCCCAGACUCCUACGGGAGGCAGCAGUGGGGAAUUUUGGACAAUGGGGGAAACCCUGAUCCAGCCAUCCCGCGUGUGCGAUGAAGGCCUUCGGGUUGUAAAGCACUUUUGGCAGGAAAGAAACGUCAUGGGCUAAUACCCCGUGAAACUGACGGUACCUGCGGAAUAAGCACCGGCUAACUACGUGCCAGCAGCCGCGGUAAUACGUAGGGGUGCAAGCGUUGAUCGGAAUUACUGGGCGUAAAGCGUGCGCAGCGGUUCGGGAAAGAAGAUGUGAAAUCCCAGAGCUUAACCUUGGAACUGCCUUUUUACUACCUGACUAGAGGUGUCAAAGGGAGGUGGGAAUCCCCGGUACCAUGAAUGCGUAAAUUGCGGAGGAACCCGA
rnacentral:rRNA from 1 species